CAGGAAGCCCGUUCUCAGGGCUCUGACCUUUAAAGCCUGCCAGACUCCUCUGUCCAUGGGAUUCUCCAGGCAAGAAUACUGGAGUGGGUUGCUGUACCCUCUUCCAGGGGAUCUUCCCAACCCAGGGAUCGAAGCUUCAUCUCCUAAGUCUCCUGCAUUGGCAGAAGAAGGAAAAAGUGAAGGAGGAGGGACAAGAGGAGAAAGUCAGCGGAAAUGAAUGAACCUUCCUCCGCGCCAUGGCUGGAGCACUCUGAAAAGGGAAACCUUGACCACCCGGACCUGGAAAACACACAUUAUUGGCAGGAUCUAAGCUGAUGGAAACCUAACUGAACUAGAAUUUGGGUCUUCCAACACUCCCAGCACAGUGUUGUCACUCCCAAGCUGUGUGACCUUUGCAAAAUCAUAUCUCUGACCCUCACUUUCUUCAUCUACAAAAGGAAAGAGUUACAUGGUUUCUCUCUUCUCCAGGGUUGCACUAGUAAGACAGCUGGUAAUGUUAAUUGAUAAGGAAGUGGUUCAAAGAGGAUCCAUCUGUUUUUAAUUAAAUUCCUUUUGCAACAUCUUUAUAAAUGCUCUGGGUCUAAGAGAUAACGUAUUAGGAGAUCCAGAAAGCAUACAUAUUGAAGCCACAUGCUGCUAUAUAAAGGACAGACUCAAUUAAAUAGAAUUAAACCAGUGACUGGUGAGAAUGGGGAAGCCUGUGCUUUGAGAGAUUUGGGGAGCGAGUUAAAGUUUAUUGGGCAUCAGAAAAGUUAAGAGAGUUUUUUCAAUGGAAAUUGAAUGUUAGCGGAAACAUUAGUAUAGGACACUGACAUUCCAUGAACUCUGACAAAGUAAAAGGAAGGAAGGAAAUAAGAAAACAGAAGCCAGAGGUGACAAAGGAUAAAUGGUUGGGAAUGUCAUCCAUGAGGAGGUGAAGUGGGAGAAAGAGGUACAAAAGCUGGAGUGAUGACGAUUCCUACCCGCAAAUCAAAUUUACCCAUGAGUUCUGGGGUUUGGUUUUUAAAUGCAAUAAACUAUUUUUUAGAGCAGUUUAGGGUCACAGCAGCACUGAGUGGAAAAUAGAGUUCCAUCUGCUUCUGUCCCCACGCACGCCCCGUCCCCACUACCAACAUCCUGCUGCACAGUCAUGCAUUUGUUGCAGCGGCGGAACCCGUACUGACACAUCACCCAGAGUCCAUAGUGCACGUUUCAGCUCGCUCGGUGGCGGACAUUCCAUGCGCGUUUCACAAAUGCGUAGUGACAUGGAUCCACCAUUGCUGUGUCACACAGAACAGUCUCCCUGCCCUAAACAUCCUCUGCGCUCUGUCUGCUCACCCCUCCCUGCCCCCGCCCCCCUGGCACCACUGGUCUUUUUAUCAUCACCUUAUUUUUGUCUUCUCCUCAUUGUCGGAUAGUUGGAAUCAUACAGUGUAUAGCAUUUGCAGAUUGGCUUCUUUCACUUAGAAACACGCAUUUCUUCCAAGUCUUUUUGUGGCUCCACAGCUCGUUUCUUUUUAGCACUAAUUGUUUUGUUGCAGC
ensembl:lncRNA